rnacentral:rRNA from 1 species
AGUGAACGCUGGCGGUAGGCCUAACACAUGCAAGUCGAACGGCAGCACAGUAAGAGCUUGCUCUUACGGGUGGCGAGUGGCGGACGGGUGAGGAAUACAUCGGAAUCUACUUUUUCGUGGGGGAUAACGUAGGGAAACUUACGCUAAUACCGCAUACGACCUACGGGUGAAAGCAGGGGAUCUUCGGACCUUGCGCGAUUGAAUGAGCCGAUGUCGGAUUAGCUAGUAGGCGGGGUAAAGGCCCACCAAGGCGACGAUCCGUAGCUGGUCUGAGAGGAUGAUCAGCCACACUGGAACUGAGACACGGUCCAGACUCCGACGGGAGGCAGCAGUGGGGAAUAUUGGACAAUGGGCGCAAGCCUGAUCCAGCCAUACCGCGUGGGUGAAGAAGGCCUUCGGGUUGUAAAGCCCUUUUGUUGGGAAAGAAAAGCAGCAGGUUAAUACCCCGCUGUUCUGACGGUACCCAAAGAAUAAGCACCGGCUAACUUCGU